GGGUUUCAAAGCUAACGCAUUAAAUAGACCGCCUGGGGAGUACGGCCGCAAGGUUAAAACUCAAAUGAAUUGACGGGGGCCCGCACAAGCGGUGGAGCAUGUGGUUUAAUUCGAUGCAACGCGAAGAACCUUACCAUCCCUUGACAUCCAGAGAAUCACCUAGAGAUAGAUGAGUGCCUUCGGGAACUCUGAGACAGGUGCUGCAUGGCUGUCGUCAGCUCGUGUUGUGAAAUGUUGGGUUAAGUCCCGCAACGAGCGCAACCCUUAUCCUUAGUUGCCAGCACGUAAUGGUGGGAACUCUAGGGAGACUGCCGGUGAUAAACCGGAGGAAGGUGGGGACGACGUCAAGUCAUCAUGGCCCUUACGGGAUGGGCUACACACGUGCUACAAUGGCAAAUACAAAGGGUUGCUAACCUGCGAGGGUAUGCGAAUCUCAUAAAGUUUGUCGUAGUCCGGAUCGGAGUCUGCAACUCGACUCCGUGAAGUUGGAAUCGCUAGUAAUCGUGGAUCAGAAUGCCACGGUGAAUACGUUCCCGGGCCUUGUACACACCGCCCGUCACACCAUGGGAGUGGGCUGCACCAGAAGUCAUUAGCUUAACCUUUCGGGGAUGGCGAUGACCACGGUGUGGUUCAUGACUGGGGUGAAGUCGUAACAAGGUAGCCCUAGGGGAACCUGGGGCUGG
rnacentral:rRNA from 1 species